UUCAUCAUUCCUGCAGAGUUUUCUGAAAGCAUACAUUCUCCAGGGGUUUGAAAACUUUCAUUGAAGCUCCUCUUUCAACCUGUGUGUUCACCUUCUGCUUACCUCCCUUUACUUCCCAGCUGGAAACUGCCAGAUCAUUAGUGUAUUUUUCUUUUCUUUUCUUUUUUCUCUUUUACUGUUUUGUGGUUUUCUUUCUUUUUCUGUUUUGUAAUUCUGAUCCCAGCACAGCAGUAUUUUUCCUAUGGCUCUCACAUUCUACACCAAAACAAAGCACAAACAGUUCUAUCCAGAAAUGACUAUCCAAAAACAUAGGCUAUGUUUACCUUCCCAGAUUCACCAACAUGAAAUCUGAGAUUUAUGGUCAUUGGGAGAAAAAUAGAUUUAUCUAUGUAAGCAGCAGUUUUGCAGGGAGGUAAAGGAUUAAGAAGCAGUUUCAUAUGGUGGAGACAAACAGUCUUGCCCAAAAGGUUUUCCAUAAGUGAGUCAGCAAAUGGCACACCACUAGCAAGAUUGUUUUCUGCUGCCCUGGAGACUAGGACGCAGAACAAUGGCUUCAAACUACAGGAAAGGAGAUUUCGCCUAAACAUCAGGAAGAACUUCCUAACUGUGAGAGCUGUUCAGCAGUGGAACUCUCUGCCUCGGAGUGUGGUGGAGGCUCCUUCUUUGGAGGCUUUAAAGCAGAAGCUGGAUGGCCAUCUGUCAGGGGUUCUUUGAAUGUGCAUUUCCUGCAUGACAGGGGAUUAGACUAGAUGGCCCAGGCAAUAUCUUCCAACUGUAUGAUGCUAUGCUUCUUUGAGAAUGGUGGAAGGAGACUGCCAUUCCAUAUCCCCAGGCCACCUGAGUCUAAGAAACACGGGGCAGUGGGGACAGUUGUGUCAAAUUCCGUUUGGGAUCCAGCCUAGUUGUUCCCAUUUUACCACUUGGUAAAUCCCAAAUUCUGAGGCAUAAUUGUAUUUUCCUCUGAUUGAGUAAUGUGGGGCAAGACUGCCUUAAGUUGGCCCUGCAUUACCGUGAAUCAGCUCUGUAUGGUGUUUGGCCACUGCGGAUUGAUCCUCAGAUUCCCUUGUCAGAGAUUUCUCCACUAUGGCAAAAUAAUGUUAUUUAAAUUAUAGUAAUUGAUAAAUCCUUGCAUCUCUCUCUCUCUCUCUCUCUCUCUCUCUCUCUCUCUCUCUCUCUCUCUCUCUCUAUAUAUAUAUAUAUAUAUAUAUAUAUAUAUAUAUAUAUAUUGAUGA
rnacentral:lncRNA from 1 species